GAUGAACGCUGGCGGCGUGCCUAAUACAUGCAAGUAGAACGCUGAAGGAGGAGCUUGCUCUUCUUGAUGAGUUGCGAACGGGUGAGUAACGCGUAGGUAACCUGCCUGGUAGCGGGGGAUAACUAUUGGAAACGAUAGCUAAUACCGCAUGACAACAGUUAUUGCAUGAUAACUGUUUAAAAGGGGCAACUGCUCCACUACCAGAUGGACCUGCGUUGUAUUAGCUAGUUGGUGAGGUAACGGCUCACCAAGGCGACGAUACAUAGCCGACCUGAGAGGGGGAUCGGCCACACUGGGACUGAGACACGGCCCAGACUCCUACGGGAGGCAGCAGUAGGGAAUCUUCGGCAAUGGACGGAAGUCUGACCGAGCAACGCCGCGUGAGUGAAGAAGGGUUUCGGAUCGUAAAGCUCUGUUGUAAGAGAAGAACGAGUGUGAGAGUGGAAAGUUCACACUGUGACGGUAUCUUACCAGAAAGGGACGGCUAACUACGUG
rnacentral:rRNA from 1 species